rnacentral:tRNA from 1 species
GGGCCCGUAGUAAAGUGGCAUUACGCGGCAUUCGCAUUGCCGAGGCAGGGGUUCGAUUCCCCUCGGGUCCACCA